rnacentral:rRNA from 1 species
UACGAGAGGACCGGGGUGGACGGACCUCUGGUGUACCAGUUGUCCCGCCAGGGGCACCGCUGGGUAGCCACGUCCGGAUGGGAUAAACGCUGAAAGCAUCUAAGCGUGAAGCCCACCUCAAGAUGAGAUUUCCCUUUCGCGAGAAGUAAGAUCCCUUAUAGAUGAUGAGGUUGAUAGGUCAGACGUGUAAGUAUGGCGACAUAUUGAGCGGACUGAUACUAAUAGAUCGAGGACUUAACCUUA